rnacentral:rRNA from 1 species
UACGUAGGGUGCGAGCGUUAAUCGGAAUUACUGGGCGUAAAGCGUGCGCAGGCGGUUCGUUGUGUCGGUGGUGAAAUCCCCGGGCUUAACCUGGGAAUGGCCAUGGAAACUGGCGAACUGGAGUGUGGCAGAGGGAGGUGGAAUUCCGCGUGUAGCAGUGAAAUGCGUAGAGAUGCGGAGGAACACCGAUGGCGAAGGCAGCCCCCUGGGCUAACACUGACGCUCAGGCACGAAAGCGUGGGGAGCAAACAGG